AUUGAACGCUGGCGGCAUGCCUUACACAUGCAAGUCGAACGGCAGCACGGGUGCUUGCACCUGGUGGCGAGUGGCGAACGGGUGAGUAAUACAUCGGAACAUGUCCUGUAGUGGGGGAUAGCCCGGCGAAAGCCGGAUUAAUACCGCAUACGAUCUACGGAUGAAAGCGGGGGACCUUCGGGCCUCGCGCUAUAGGGUUGGCCGAUGGCUGAUUAGCUAGUUGGUGGGGUAAAGGCCUACCAAGGCGACGAUCAGUAGCUGGUCUGAGAGGACGACCAGCCACACUGGGACUGAGACACGGCCCAGACUCCUACGGGAGGCAGCAGUGGGGAAUUUUGGACAAUGGGCGAAAGCCUGAUCCAGCAAUGCCGCGUGUGUGAAGAAGGCCUUCGGGUUGUAAAGCACUUUUGUCCGGAAAGAAAUCCUUGGCCCUAAUACGGGCGGGGGAUGACGGUACCGGAAGAAUAAGCACCGGCGAACUACGU
rnacentral:rRNA from 1 species